AAGUUUUGUUUGGAAGAUACGUUUAUAUAAUAAUGAGAAUUAAUGACGUCAAUGAAGACUGUAUGAGCCAAGGUUCUUUUUUUCAUAGUCCUUGCGAUUUAAAGAGACAGAACAUUUCUAGACUGCCUGUAAAUAAGGAGAAAAAUUUCAUGUCAACCAUCCCUGAUGACUAGCUCACUGUACUACCAACACGGGAUCUGCUGUGGGAUUCUCUGUUGUCUAAUUCAAAUGUCUAAUUCAAGAGUUGUCUCUAUUUGGAGUAUGACGGCAUCAUAGACCGAUCCUGAAGCGAUCCUUCAGUUUGCAGC